AUGCGUAGGGGGCGAGCGUUGUCCGGAAUGAUUGGGCGUAAAGGGCGCGUAGGCGGCCCGGUAAGUCUGGAGUGAAAGUCCUGUUUUUAAGAUGGGAAUUGCUUUGGAUACUGUCGGGCUUGAGUGCAGGAGAGGUAAGUGGAAUUCCCAGUGUAGCGGUGAAAUGCGUAGAGAUUGGGAGGAACACCAGUGGCGAAGGCGACUUACUGGACUGUAACUGACGCUGAGGCGCGAAAGUGUGGGGAGCAAACAGGAUUAGAUACCCUGGUAGUCCACACUGUAAACGAUGAAUGCUAGGUGUAGGGGGUAUCGACCCCUUCUGUGCCGCAGUCAACACAAUAAGCAUUCCGCCUGGGGAGUACGGCCGCAAGGUUGAAACUCAAAUGAAUUGGCGGGG
rnacentral:rRNA from 1 species